rnacentral:rRNA from 1 species
GAUGAACGCUGGCGGCGUGCCUAAUACAUGCAAGUCGAGCGAACGGACGAGAAGCUUGCUUCUCUGAUGUUAGCGGCGGACGGGUGAGUAACACGUGGAUAACCUACCUAUAAGACUGGGAUAACUUCGGGAAACCGGAGCUAAUACCGGAUAAUAUUUUGAACCGCAUGGUUCAAAAGUGAAAGACGGUCUUGCUGUCACUUAUAGAUGGAUCCGCGCUGCAUUAGCUAGUUGGUAAGGUAACGGCUUACCAAGGCAACGAUGCAUAGCCGACCUGAGAGGGUGAUCGGCCACACUGGAACUGAGCCACGGUCCAGGCUCCUACGGGAGGCCGCAGUAGGGAAUCUUCCGCAAUGGGCGAAAGCCUGACGGAGCAGCGCCGCGUGAGUGAUGAAGGUCUUCGGAUCGUAAAACUCUGUUAUUAGUGAAGAACAUAUGUGUAAGUAGCUGUGCACAUCUUGACGGUACCUAAUCAGAAAGCCACGGCUAACUACGUG